CCUACGGGAGGCAGCAGUGGGGAAUCUUGCGCAAUGGGCGAAAGCCUGACGCAGCAACGCCGCGUGCGGGAAGAAGGCUCUCGGGUUGUAAACCGCUUUCAGCAGGAACGAAAAUGACGGUACUUGCAGAAGAAGGUGCGGCCAACUACGUGCCAGCAGCCGCGGUGACACGUAGGCACCAAGCGUUGUCCGGAUUUAUUGGGCGUAAAGAGCUCGUAGGCGGUUCGGUAAGUCAGGUGUGAAAACUUUGGGCUCAACCCAAAGCCUGCAUCUGAUACUGCUGUGACUAGAGUUCGGUAGGGGAGCGGGGAAUUCCUAGUGUAGUGGUGAAAUGCGCAGAUAUUAGGAGGAACACCGGUGGCGAAGGCGCCGCUCUGGGCCGAAACUGACGCUGAGGAGCGAAAGCGUGGGUAGCAAACAGGAUUAGAUACCCUGGUAGUCCACGCCGUAAACGUUGGGCACUAGGUGUGGGUUUCACCAACGAAAUCCGCGCCGUCGCUAACGCAUUAAGUGCCCCGCCGUCGGGAGGUACGGCCGCGAACGGUAAACGUACGAAAGGAAAGUAGACGGCGUGUAAGGACGUCGCCGAACGGACGACGACGAAGGGAGGUUAGG
rnacentral:rRNA from 1 species